rnacentral:misc_RNA from 1 species
ACUCUUCAACCCGCCCUUUUUCUAGCGAUAAGGUGUCGGUGCUUGGAUUUUGAGCCCUGCUAUUGAUUUAGCUGGUUCGUAAUGCAUCAGCAUUUCAAAUUUCGUAAUCGGAUUGACUUGGCGUAAUAGACUAUUCGCCAAGGACACUUCACAGUGGCCGAGAUGAGAAAUAUAGAAGAGCUUCCAAUUCCUCUAGUCAUCUUUAAG